AUUUUCCUUAUCUUAAAUCUGUUUUAUUUUUAAUUUUGAGAAAUCAAAAUCUCAAAUUUUCUCCCCAAAUUUGUCAACGGACUUGGUCAAAGUAUCCGUAUGUAAUUGAGCGUAUCCCGCACGUUUGCCAUUCCCGCACCCAACUCGUGUCGAGACGGGAACGACACCCAAAAUGGUGAGUCCGUGCGGUGAAAUGGGAUAAAAUACUGAAGAAGGCAUGAUUGCAAAGAGAAUAAGGGAUACAAUCCGGUGAAAUGGGAUAAAAUACUGAACAGUAGACAUUUGGGGGGAAUGGACAUCAGAAACCUUAGGAGACAGAACAAUAGCUUCUUAAAGUUAUCGAUUACUUCUUCCUCUGUCUCGUUUAUCUCUGUCCAGAGCCGGAAAAAAAUAUAUCACAACACAAAAUUUUCAUCUUUCAUCCAACAAAAUAGAAAAUAUGACAUCUGCAAGUCAAAAGGGAAAGGGUCUUAUAAGACCAACGAAAAGUGUAGGGAUUGAUUUUGAUGAUAAACCAUUGUGGAAUCAUGUCAAAGUUGUUUUAGUUGCUGGUGGUGGUGGUGGAAACAUAGUAUGGAUGUGUAACUAUUGCAAUAAAAGAUUCAUGGGAUCAUAUAGCAGAGUAAAAUCACAUCUCUUAAAAAUACCAAACCAUGGAGUUCAAAUAUGUUCAGCUAUCGGUGGUGAAAUAUUAAGGGUUUUGAAGAUAGAGCAUGAACAAGUUGAAAGGAAAAACCAUCCAUUCAAGUUGAUGCAAGAAAGAAAGCUGAUUAUGUAUCUCUUCCGGAGGGGAAUGAUUUGCUCCAACCGAAAAAAAGAAAAGGUCCAGAAGGUGGAGCUAUAGAGAAAUCCUUUGGCCUUUAUGAAAGAAAUACCGCUGAUAGCAGCUCGAAUGUUUUUCGCAUCAGGUCUAUCGUUUAAUUUUGCAAGAUCUCCUUAUUUCAAAAAAUAUUCACUGUUUCUAGCUGAAAAUCAUAUUCCUGGUUAUAUUUCCCCGAAAUAUGAUAGGUUGAGGACAUCUCUUUUGGCUCAGGAAAAGACUAACUUUGCUAGAAAGUUGCAACCAAUUAAAGAUGCAUGGAGAAAGAAAGAGGGUUGUCGAUUUGUUCAGAUGGAUGGUCCGACAUUAAGAGACGACCUUUGAUAAAUAUAAUUGCAUCAUCUAGUGAGGGCCCAAUAUUUUUAAAUUCAAUCAAUUCUAGUGGGGUCGUAAAGCAGGGGGAAUACAUUGCUAAAUUGUUGAUUGAUGCAAUAGAAAAUGUAGGUCCGGAUAAUGGUGUUCAAGUUAUUACGGAUAACGCAAGUAACAUGAAAAGUGUCGGUUCUAUCGUGGAGCAAAAAAUUCCUAAUAUAUUUUGGACUCCUUGUUUUGUUCAUUGUUUAAAUCUGGCGUUGAAAAGUAUGUGCCAACCUUCGGAAAGAUCAACUCACUUUGCGAAUGGAUAGUAACGUUACUUGGUCAAGUAAAUAAUCUGAAGAACUUUGUUGUGAAUCAUGACAUGGCACUUGCAAUUUUUCAAAAGCAUUCUAAAUUGAGCUUAUUGAAAGUUGCCGAAACAAGAUUUGCAUCACACAUUGUUAUGAACGAUCAUGUUAAAAAAGUGAAAUCGGCUUUAGAGAAGAUGAGAUGGUAAUGGAUGAUGAAUGGAAGCAUUAUAGGGGGGAUAGGACACUUGAAGCUAAAACACGUGAUAUAAAAACCCUUAUAAUGAAUGAUGAUUGGUGGGAUAGUAUUGAUUAUUUUUUGAAGUUUAUGAAACCUAUUGUAGAUAUGCUUAGAAGUGUCGAUCUUGAUAGUCUGAAAUUGCAUCUCAUUUAUGAUAUGUGGGACACUAUGAUUGAGAAAGUCUUUGAAGAAAUGAUACAAUCAACAUUCUUUUAGGAAAAAGAAAAAGAAGUUGGAAUCCUCACAUGAGAUUCCACAUGAUAUUAUCUGUUGAAGACAUAUAAUUAAAUAAAUAAAAAUGUGAUCUCCAUGGCAGAUUAAAUGUUUAGAUGAGAUGGCCACUCACCUCAACAUAGUAUCAGAGCUAGACCCAUAUUUAUUCUUGAUUUAUCAAAUGUUGGGUCCCGCUGUUAUGUUUUUGACACACCAAAUGUCCAAGCCUAGGUGUGUGGACAGGUGUUAGUCUCACAUUUGUUGAGAGAAUGGACUGGUAUCUCCUUAUAAGGUAUGGAUCAUUCCUCACUUCAUGAACUAUUUUUUGGGAUUGAUUUAGAUCGAAGGUCAAUUUAUUUAUAUUAUCUGAAAUCUCUUCUUUUAUUAUGUGGAUGUGAAUGAGGAAGUUUUUGUUUCUGUGGCGAGUUCCGUGCGCCCAUGCCAUGAAACAAAGAUUUUUACGGUUCAAGAAGCAUCCUCAUCAUUUUAUUUGUCUACAUCUUUUCUGAGUCCAGCAUGAGUCUCACUAACUUUUACUGCUGGUGAAUUCUAGCUUGAUUUGCAGAACAACUCAGCUCAAACCUUCUGGCAGAAGGUAGAGAUCGCUUUUGGUAAGUUGCAGAAAUCAGUCCUUCGCACCAGGCCACCAACAUUUCUAAAAAUGAGCUAUCCCUUUCCAUUAAUCACAACUUGGGUAUAGUUUUCACCUCAAUAGAGAUUGGUCAUAUGUCAUCGAGAUGGCACUAAAAGUGUACACUUAUGGUUUUGGGAACUAUUGGAAGGAUGGUCAAAAUCGAUUUGAUUUUGUCAUCACUUGGGUCAUUGAUAAACCAAGAAUACAAGUUUGUGUUGAGUUCGGAUGGCAGAGAGAAGCAAUGAUAUAGAUGGAGGGUUUGUUUUCGGCCUUGAAUGGCUUUCUCUUUCUAUCUUGAGGAAAGAAUGAAAGACUGUGAAAGAGACGACCUAGAGGCUUGAAAACUUUGCUCUGUAAAAGCUUGAAAAGGAAAUUUGGAGAAUAUGAACAAGACGACUGCUUACAGCUGGAGGAGACAUGUAGUCGUGUACAAGCUGAAUUAGGACUCUUAAAAGUCUUAAUUGUAUUAACGAUUCGCUAUCUUCUGAUAGCAAGAAUGUUACUAUUCAUAAAAUUCUUGAUUCACAUUGAGCAAUUUCGUGCUUCUGUUGCCACAUUUUUGAGUCUCAUGUAUAGUCUGCUGCCAUACUUGGGGACCAUAUUCUGUGUCUUAUGCAUUUAUUGCUCUCUUGGUUUACAGGUAUAUUCGACUCCUUUUGCUGUUAUCACUUUGCUAAUCACUUGAUCGUGGAUUUUGUUCCUCUCAUCUUCGGCUUGAUAUAACAGGAAAUAGCUUAACAAUUUUUCGUCUUGAAGUAUUGAUGGAACCCUCUAUGUUUCUUUUCUAAGUUUAUCUUUGGGGGGAUUGUCAACACUGGAAACCCCAACUUAAACCAAACUGAUCUUGCUCGUUAUGACUAUUUGCUUUUUAACUUCAAUGACUACCCGACUGGCAUGGGGACAGUUUUCAAUUUAUUGGUGAUGGGAAUCUGGCCACCAGUGAUGCAGAGCUACAAGGAACUGACAGGGACCUCCUGGACUUAUGUCUACUUCUUCAGCUUCUAUCUUAUUGCCGUUUUGUGGGCUAUUAAAUUUGGUAAGUAUCCAUGUGUACCCUUUGCAAAUAUGGUUUCUAGACCUCCAUUGGAGCUCCAUAGACACGGACAAAAGCCAGAUAAUGUUAAAGUCAACCUCUCAGUAUAGUUAAGUAAAUCAGAUAACAUAAUCACAUGGGCAAUGAGUCCAUUUGGGUACAAUGAUGGUUCCUUUCCCAGUGGCUACUAGUUUUCUUCUCAUAUAGAUAUAAGUACUCACAGGGGCGGAUCAUUAAGGGUCGUGGGAGUGCCACGUCACCCGCAAGCUUCGCCCGAAACCCUAUGUAUAUAUAUGUAUAUAUACAGAAACUAUAUACAAAUAUUUAAAGUGGCACCCUCACUACAAAAUGCCCCGCUGGUGCCAAUGGCGAAGGGCUCUAUUUUCUUCUGUUUGAUCGUAGGAUCGAAUCCCAGCGGCUGCACACUGCACUUUAUUUUUAUUUUUACCUUGUGGCAACAAUAAGCAGCCAGCAAUAUGACUGGGCGGUACAAAACAAUUCCCAAUUUCCCAUUAACUUUAUAUUCUCUUUUUUUAUUUCUAUAAUUGUUGUUGACUUAAUUUAAUUUUUUAAUCUUUGACUUUUUUAUUUCUUAAAGUUGAAAACAUAAGUUUCCCUCUCUUCCUUCUCAUCAAAAAAAAAAAAAAAAAAGAACCUCUCUCUCUUCUCAAUUCUCAUCAAAGAAACAAACCCUCUCUUCUCAAUUCUCAUCAAAUAAACAAACCCUCUUCAUGAAGUACAAAUUAGAGAUUUGAGUUACCAACUCGAUACUUCCAUAUUUCAUAUGCGAAGUGGUAAUCCCAAGUUCUCCAACUUGCAAGGAAUUUGUUAUUUGGCAAAAGCAUUGGUUGAGGCAAAUCUUGUGGAUACUUAUUCACUUGUUUACUUACUUGUGAAAUUAACUCUGAUCUUACUUGUUGCUACCGCAACUGUGGAGAGAGCAUUCUCAUCCAUGAAGCGGAUCCAAAAUGAAGUGCGGAAUAGCAUUGGUGAUCAAUAUUUGAAUGAUUGUUUAGUUUGUUACAUAGAGCGUGAUGUAUUUACAAAUGUAAGUAAUGAUGCAUCAUUGAUCAUUGUCAGAAGAUGAAACCUCAUCGAGGACAAUUACAAUUGUAAAUGAAUGAUGGAUAUUUAUGAUAUUAGUAAUAUUAUUGAAAGUUUUAUGUUUUUCUCUUCUGUAUAUUGCUAUAAAUAAAUGUUUCAUCGGAAAAGACGAAUAACCCGAAUCAAAGCCCGAAAAGACGAAUAAUCCGACCCGAAGCCCAAAUUGAUUGAAUGACGCAUGGCACCCGGAAACUUCAAAUCCUGGAUCCGCCUCUGAGUACUCAUAAGUUCUAUUAGAGAAUGCAUUUGUACCCCAUCAGUUGUACUCCCUCUGUUUCAAUUUGUUUGUCUUACUUUCCUUUUUUAGUCCGUUUAGAAAAGAAUGCCUUUUUCCUUUUCGGCCCACGUGUAAAACCAAGAACCAGGUUACGUGUGUUAGAGAAUGCAUUUGCCCCUCAUCAGUUUUAUAAGGUUAUCAAUGGGGUUUAUAAUGUCCUGGGCCACUCCACCUAUUGCCUUAAGGUUUGGAUUGGAUGCUCAGAUUCUUUCACAAGUUCAUUGUAUCAAAUAACAUUAUCACAUGGAGAGAGAGAAAUAGCAGGGCAUUCGAAGAGGUAGGAAUGAGUUUUGGGCAGUUGAACAGUCUCCGCUCCCUUAUUUACUUUGGUGCACCCAUGUAGGUCCGGGAUUUAUAGAGGAUUGGGUGUCUUUUGUAAAGAACCAUUUCUUUUUGUAGGUUCUUUACUCUCUGGUAUACUUCUUGUAUACGGCCGUUUUUGGCCUUGUGAUUAAUGAAAUUGUUUACCUGAUCAAGAAAACAAAAAAAAUCACACGGGCAAUGUGUCCAUUUGGGUAGAUGACAGUACCUUCCCCAGUGGUAACUAAUUCUUAGAUCUCUGGAUAGUUGUAGGUACAUUACAUUAUUAUCCUAUUGUUUGUUGUGGUCUAUGUUCCAGCCUUGUAUAUCCCUUCUCCUAAUUCACCAAGCAAACUCUAAUAUUGACUUAUUCUUGCUUCAACAUGUCCAAGAAGUGAUGUCUGCUACUUAUGUGUGCUUUUAAAGGUAAAAGUUCCCUUACUUCCAAGAACUAAUUAUUUUCAUGAGUUGGCUCAUUCCACGUUCAAAAUGAUAUUUUCCUAUGCUUUAGUUCUUUUGGACUAUGAGCAUCUACUCCGAUGUCAUUUAAGUAUUUCAGCAACCUGCAUAAUACAUCUGACUUCAUAUAUAUUCCAAGUCCUAGUCAAGCUAACCACCAUGUUUUCUUGCAGGUAAUUUCUAGAUCUUUAUAUUUGUUAUAUAUGUAUGGUCAAUUUAAAAUUUCAUAAAUGGAAAAUGUUUGACAAAGUGCUAACAUAUUGUUUUGAUGCACCCAGUAGUUAAAAUUCUAUAGAGUUGACUGCCUAUUGAGAGCCAUAAUUGAUGCGAGUUGGAAAUUUGCGUAACCACCACUGGGGAUUCAUGCAUGAAUCAACUUCCCAUUUGCAUGACGACCUUAAGAAUUGUGGAUAUUUCAUAGCCCUCCCAAGUCCCAACCAUCUUCACAUUAUUAGCCUUUUAGACUUUCCAUCUCAGCAACCAUUCUCAGGGGUCAAUAAAAAAACAAGCCAUUUUACCCGGUGCUGGGGUAUCAUAGAAUCACCUGAUGAUAAGGUAUCUGCUUGUCUAACAUUUUUUUUUCUUGGUGGUAAUACUGGUAUAUAUGUAAGUAUUCUUUACCAAGGCAAGGUAGCUUAAAUAUUUUAUUCCUAUUGAAUAUUGCAAAAGUUGACAUUGCAUCUCUUAAAGUUUUAGAAACUUUGUUUUUGUUUUUGUUUUUGUUUUUGGACAAUUGAUCUUAGAAUUUACUGUCCCUUUGUGUUCUGACACUUUCUUCUUUCCUAAGUAUAUUGCUUCAGUCAGUGCUGAAGCCAGUAUUAACACUUCACCUUUGCUUGGUAAUUUUCAGAUUAUAGUAUUUGUCUUGGAAGCUUUUCGAGUAGAAAAUGAAGAUGAGGACAAGAAAGAAAGAAGAGAGCCGCGACAUACUGUUGGUGCUACUUAAUUGGAGACAGAAACUAGAUGCUCUACACCGUCGCUUGUGUAGGGAAUGAACCCGGCCCUCCAAUCCAUAAGUUUACUCCAUUCUCCAGGCUGCUUUACGCGGUCCUGUGAGCUUCAGAAGAUGAGUUACCUUGGACCUGGUGGUGAAUAAAAAUCGCAAUCGGCGACGUAUUUAUAUUGUAGUUGUGAAAUGUGGUGUGGUGUGCUCUGUAGUUUAAGUUUCCAUCAAGCUAUUGAUUAUUUUAGCUUGUCCAUGCAAAUAUGUAAAGGUUCUAAUAGAAGUUCCAUUUUUAUGUUUUCUUGUUGAGGGCUCUAUGUAUCAAACAUUUUUAUUCAAAAUAAGAUGAACUCAUCAAUUUCACUUUU